UCUUUUUGAGAUAAAUUUAAAGUCUCGCCUGCCCAAUGAUGAAUUAAAUGGCCGCGGUAUUUUGACCGUGCUAAGGUAGCAUAAUCAUUAGUUUUUUAAUUAAAAGCUGGAAUGAAGGGUUGGAUGAAAGAGUAGCUGUCUCUAUAUAAAUAAUUGAAUUUUAUUUUUAAGUUAAAAAGCUUAAAUGAUGUUAAAAGACGAGAAGACCCUAUAGAGUUUUAUAAGGAGGUUAUUUAUUUAAGUAGAAUUUAAAUUUAUAGUAUAAUUUAUUUAUUUAAUUGGGGUGAUUGAAAAAUUUAAUAAACUUUUUUUAUAUUUUUAUAUUUUUAGAUAAUUAAUUGAUCCAUUUUUAAUGAUUAUAAGAAAAAAUUACCUUAGGGAUAACAGCGUAAUUCUAUUGGAGAGUUCAGAUCGAUAGUAGAGAUUGCGACCUCGAUGUUGGAUUAAAG
rnacentral:rRNA from 1 species